GGUAUGAAAGGGUUAACGAAGAAGGUGCUGUGUCUAAAAAUUCAAUUUAAACUAACUUUAAGGUGAAGAGGCCUUUAUGUAAAAGAAGGACGACAAGACCCUAUGAAGCUUUAUCUUAAUUGGAGCUCUCAGGCUCUUAUACGAUUUUGAUGGGAGAUCAGUGGAAAUAAGUCUUCUACUAUCAUAUUAAUCUUACUAGUAUUUCCUAACUUUAUAUGUGUGGCUAGCUACUCUAGGGAUAACAGCGCAAUUUCUCCCGAAAGAUGGUAUUGGAGGGGAAGAUUGCGACCUCGAUGUUGGCUUUAGAUAUCCUAGAGGCGUAGAAGCUUCU
rnacentral:rRNA from 1 species